GACCAGGAGGGGUUUUGGGGUGACCAGGAGAGGUUUUGGGGGUCCCCUCUGCAUUUUCUCCAUACCCAGCUCAGUUUUGGGGUGGCCAGGAGGAGUUUUGGGGUGGCCAGGAGGGGUUUUGGGGUGACCAGGAGAGGUUUUGGGGGUCCCUUGUGCAUUUUCCCCAUCCCCAGCUCAGUUUUGGGGGUCCCCUCUGCAUUUUCUCCAUCCCCAGCUCGGUUUUGGGGUGUGACCAGGAGGGGUUUUGGGGUCCCCUCUGCGUUUUCUCCAUCCUCAGCUCAGUUUUGUGGUGACCAGGAGGGGUUUUGGGGGUCCCCUCUGCAUUUUCUCCAUACCCAGCUCAGUUUUGGGGUGGCCAGGAGGAGUUUUGGGGUGGCCAGGAGGAGUUUUGGGGGUCCUUUCUGUGUUUUCCCCAUCCUCAGCUCUAUUUGGGGGUGACCAGGAGGGGUUUUGGGGGUCCCCUCUGCACUUUCCCCAUCCUCA
rnacentral:lncRNA from 1 species